AGUGAACGCUGGCGGUAGGCCUAACACAUGCAAGUCGAACGGCAGCACAGUAAGAGCUUGCUCUUACGGGUGGCGAGUGGCGGACGGGUGAGGAAUACAUCGGAAUCUACUUUUUCGUGGGGGAUAACGUAGGGAAACUUACGCUAAUACCGCAUACGACCUACGGGUGAAAGCAGGGGAUCUUCGGAUCUUGCGCGAUUGAAUGAGCCGAUGUCGGAUUAGCUAGUUGGCGGGGUAAAGGAACACCAAGGCGACGAUCCGUAGCUGUUCUGAGAGGAUGAUCAGCCUCACUGGAACUGAGACACGGUCCAUACUCCUACGCGAGGCAGCAGUGGAGAAUCCUGGACGAUGGGCGCAAGCCUGCUCCAGCCAUACCGCGUGGGUGAAGAUGGCCUUCGGUUUGUAAAGCCCUUUUGUUGGGAAAGAAAAGCAGCAGGUUAAUACCCCGCUGUUCUGACGGUACCCAAAGAAUAAGCACCGGCUAACUUCGUG
rnacentral:rRNA from 1 species